UCCUGGCUCAGAUUGAACGCUGGCGGCAUGCCUUACACAUGCAAGUCGAACGGCAGCACGGGAGCUUGCUCCUGGUGGCGAGUGGCGAACGGGUGAGUAAUACAUCGGAACGUACCCAGGAGUGGGGGAUAACGUAGCGAAAGUUACGCUAAUACCGCAUAUUCUGUGAGCAGGAAAGCGGGGGAUCGCAAGACCUCGCGCUCUUGGAGCGGCCGAUGUCGGAUUAGCUAGUUGGUGAGGUAAAAGCUCACCAAGGCGACGAUCCGUAGCAGGUCUGAGAGGAUGAUCUGCCACACUGGGACUGAGACACGGCCCAGACUCCUACGGGAGGCAGCAGUGGGGAAUUUUGGACAAUGGGGGCAACCCUGAUCCAGCCAUGCCGCGUGAGUGAAGAAGGCCUUCGGGUUGUAAAGCUCUUUCGGCGGGGAAGAAAUGGCAACGGCUAAUAUCCGUUGU
rnacentral:rRNA from 1 species